UACGUAGGUGGCAAGCGUUGUCCGGAAUUAUUGGGCGUAAAGCGCGCGCAGGCGGUCCUUUAAGUCUGAUGUGAAAGCCCACGGCUCAACCGUGGAGGGUCAUUGGAAACUGGGGGACUUGAGUACAGAAGAGAAGAGUGGAAUUCCACGUGUAGCGGUGAAAUGCGUAGAGAUGUGGAGGAACACCAGUGGCGAAGGCGACUCUUGGUCUGUAACUGACGC
rnacentral:rRNA from 1 species